CCCCAGUAACGGCGAGUGAAGCGGCAACAGCUCAAAUUUGAAAUCUGGCCCCCAGGGCCCGAGUUGUAAUUUGCAGAGGAUGCUUUUGGCGACGCGCCUUCCGAGUUCCCUGGAACGGGACGCCAUAGAGGGUGAGAGCCCCGUCUGGUCGGACGCCGAGCCUCUGUAAAGCUCCUUCGACGAGUCGAGUAGUUUGGGAAUGCUGCUCUAAAUGGGAGGUAUAUGUCUUCUAAAGCUAAAUACCGGCCAGAGACCGAUAGCGCACAAGUAGAGUGAUCGAAAGAUGAAAAGCACUUUGAAAAGAGGGUUAAAUAGUACGUGAAAUUGUUGAAAGGGAAGCGCUCACGACCAGACUUGAGCCCGGUGAAUCACCCAGCGUUCUCGCUGGUGCACUUCGCCGGGCCCAGGCCAGCAUCGGUUCGCCGCGGGGGAGAAAGGCGUCGGGAACGUGGCUCCCUCGGGAGUGUUAUAGCCCGUCGCACAAUACCCUGGGGCGGACCGAGGUUCGCGCAUCUGCAAGGAUGCUGGCGUAAUGGUCGUCAGCGACCCGUCUUGAAACACGGACCAAGGAGUCGUCUUCGUAUGCGAGUGUUCGGGUGUAAAACCCCUACGCGUAAUGAAAGUGAACGCAGGUGAGAGCUUCGGCGCAUCAUCGACCGAUCCUGAUGUUCUCGGAUGGAUUUGAGUAAGAGCAUACGGGGCCGGACCCGAAAGAAGGUGAACUAUGCCUGUGUAGGGUGAAGCCAGAGGAAACUCUGGUGGAGGCU
rnacentral:rRNA from 1 species